rnacentral:rRNA from 1 species
AUGAACGCUGGCGGCGCGCCUCAUACAUGCCAGUCGAGCGCACGGACGAGAAGCUUGCUUCUCUGAUGUUAGCGGCGGACGGGUGAGUAACACGUGGAUAACCUACCUAUAAGACUGGGAUAACUUCGGGAAACCGGAGCUAAUACCGGAUAAUAUUUUGAACCGCAUGGUUCAAAAGUGAAAGACGGUCUUGCUGUCACUUAUAGAUGGAUCCGCGCUGCAUUAGCUAGUUGGUAAGGUAACGGCUUACCAAGGCAACGAUGCAUAGCCGACCUGAGAGGGUGAUCGGCCACACUGGAACUGAGACACGGUCCAGACUCCUACGGGAGGCAGCAGUAGGGAAUCUUCCGCAAUGGGCGAAAGCCUGACGGAGCAACGCCGCGUGAGUGAUGAAGGUCCUCGGAUCGUAAAACUCUGUUAUUAGGGAAGAACAUAUGUGUAAGUAACUGUGCACAUCUUGACGGUACCUAAUCAGAAAGCCACGGCUAACUACGUG